rnacentral:sRNA from 1 species
AAAUAUCAGGUUUUAGAUUUUUUAAUCAACUUGAACUUGUUUAUGAGUGGAUGAAAGAUUUUGAAAACUGCCCAGUAUAUGUAUAAAAGUGGGAUUGAGAUUCUACGACAUAUAAAUGGUGGGGAAAAGUGUGAGAAUGCGGAAUACGGAACCGCUCGCAGAUAUUA